rnacentral:rRNA from 1 species
UACGUAGGGUCCGAGCGUUGUCCGGAAUUAUUGGGCGUAAAGGGCUCGUAGGCGGUUUGUCGCGUCGGGAGUGAAAACUCAGGGCUUAACCCUGAGCGUGCUUCCGAUACGGGCAGACUAGGGGUAUGCAGGGGAGAACGGAAUUCCUGGUGUAGCGGUGGAAUGCGCAGAUAUCAGGAGGAACACCGGUGGCGAAGGCGGUUCUCUGGGCAUUACCUGACGCUGAGGAGCGAAAGCAUGGGGAGCGAACAGG